UUGAUUUUUUUUAUGUGUGCAAACUAAAACUAAAACAAAAACAAACCCUAAAGUAAAAGUGAACACUUACUACAUAAUAUUGUGCUGCAAGGGUCACUGGGUUUGAAAACAAAACAGGAGAACAGAAUUAUCUUGGCGGUCACAACCAACACAGCGAAAAAACGUCGUUUCCGUUUGCCACCCACUUGGACCGCCAGCUGCAACAAAAUAGCAAAGAAGACAGAGUGAGUUCGUCUGCCACGCUCGCCGCACCGAAGGAGCACCCCGUGAAGGCCUGGAUUAUCUUGCCGUUGCUAGUGGCCAGUGCGAAAACAUAGUGAAGGCCAACGUGUUCGCAAAGACGAAGCGGUGCGUUAUAUAAACGUUAAAAUCGAUUGUCCUCGAAAUAAGACCCCCUACGAUCGGUAGAAAAGGCGUUAGCUCUUUGCUGCCGCAAGAAAGCGCAUGGAGGAACAACAUAAAUUGAGGCAAAGGGUUAACCGUCCGGAUCGGUGCAAUCGGAUAAGCUAAGCAGGCAAAAGUAGCGCCAAAAAAGGCAAAAGCAGCGAACUCGGGUGGGGCAACAGCACCGAACGUAAGAAGCAAGGCUUCGCAUAGCCAAGUGAGCGAAUCAAGGCAGGAAACGCAGGCAGCGAAGCGGAUAAUCCGGAAAGAAAAGGCUUGAGUCUGAGGGCGCUGUUCACGCUCCAAGGUGUCCAAAUUUCACCGGAAGAAUCGAACGGAGUCGAAAUUCCGACCAAGAGAGCCUCCACUAGGAGGCUCUUGUUUCUGGUUUUGGCUUCGUUUGAGUCAACGUGCGGUCGAAAGUGCUCCAAGGCACGGUCGUAGGAGCGAUCUAAGGUGUGGACUAGUCGGCAGGCCGCCUCCCCCUCCCCAACCAGUACUUCCGGAAGCAAGAACCGGUGGUAGUGAUCCGCGGGUUCGCGAAGCAGCGCUUGGCCGUGUAAAAGGGAAGAUUUGGUUUGAAGAGAGCGGUGCUCGUGAGUAGCCCCGUGAUGGGAAAAAAGGGGGGAAUGGUGUGAAAGAAAAAAAAGAAGGAAGGAAGCGUAGACGGUUAGCAGGCAUGAAGGGUAGAAGUUAAGAGAUGGGGAAAAAGUAAACAACCCUGUUAAAGGAGUAGAUCAAACGAGGAAAAUAAAAUGUUUGCACACAGCUUUU